rnacentral:SRP_RNA from 12 species
GCCGAGUUGGGUUACUCCAGCUUGUGACCCAAGUGGGGGCACCAGGUUGAUGGAACAUGGUUCUGGCUUUCGUUAGGCUGGGCUGUUAGAUGCAAUAUUCUGGCCUGCCCACUCCAAGUUGAGAGUUGGACCGUGGGGCUUGGGCGAAGGCCCUUGUCUCUCGGCCCCUAAACUGGAGGGCAAAGCGUGAGGCUGGUUUCACAGAGCAGCGAAUACCUCUGGCUCCUGACAGUGGAGGGAUAACAGGCUGAUGCACUCUCAGCCCAUUGUGCCUAGUGGGCCUGGCCUCUUGAACCAUCAUCUUU